AAUGCCCUACUUCCCAAAAAAGAGACAUUCUCUGAGCUGGCAUUUCAAUGGAAGGAUCCCAACACACCUUUCAGUUUAAAAUUUAUUUUGUACAAAUAAUUUUGCAUGCCUGCAGUUAUCCUUUAGUAGUACCAGUUUGCUCCUUGUACACUGUCUUAGCAUGCCUCAGUCUGAACAACAGCGGUAAAGAGUCUUAACAGCACAAGAAGGUAGAGCAAAUGUGGUCUGUGUUUCUGCAGAAGUGAAGGUUAGAAAGAUAAAGGGAAAAUGAUUAAAAUAUUCACAAGUGCCCUAGAUAAGAUUGUUUCGUGUCUGAGGGCAUGGUGAAUCCUGUGGGAAUGAGGAAGCUAAAAGGCUAUUUAAUUCUGAUGUUUCACACUGAAUCAACAUGUUAGAUAUCAAAGUGGUAUUAGUGAAAUUUGUAAGAACACGGGCAUUUUAUGUAAAGAAUACAGAAAUAAAGUAAGUUAGUCCAAACCAAAUCCUUUGCUGUAUCCGAGCUAUGCAGAGAAUGAACAUUGGAGGCUUAACGUGAGUAUAAUAAAUCAAACUGCCAGCUGAGCCUCAGAGGGCUUUAUUCAUGCACUUCAUUGUUCUCUCUGCAGAUACAGCAGGGUUCAGCCAAAUGCAGGGCUGCAGAUGUUCAGUGUUUCCCAGUGUUCUGAAGGCUGAGCUGGUGUCUGUGCGUUGUCCAAACUGCUCUGUUCACCGCUCCGAGUGGCCGUGCUCUGCCUUUCAUGGGGACUUUCACAUGCAGAAAUCACAGCGAUUAUUUUGUAGCUAAUAUAGUGGUUGUCCAAGAAAAUUGCAUCAUGAAAUCCAAAAAGUCCUGCAGCGGUAGAGGAAGUAGGAAUCCGUCAGCUGGAAGACAGAGAACAUGACUGCCCUUCUGUCACAGUGCUUUUGCCAUGUUCAAUUUAAACCAUCCUGAAAGUGUACCAGUAGUCAGGCUCCGUGGUAUUUGAGGAUAUUCUGAAUGUUAUGCUCUAAAGAUGCCUUUAAAAUGAAAGAGCCCCAUUUUACAGGCAGUUUUAUCAUCUUGGAUCAGUGAGAUUGCUUACCUUGGAAGAAGAAAAGACACAUUAUGGACCCAUAUCAGCAGUUGGAAGACUCUUGAGUAUAACAUGGAGAUAUAUCAGAGGUGACCAGCUGCUCUGCACCAAGGCCUAGCAGUGAUGUAUCAUAGUCUGUUGCUGUAAACAUCCCCGACUGGAAGCUGUACCAGCUCCAGCUUUCAGUCAGAUGUUUGCUGCACCUGGCUAUGCUUGGACAACAGCAGAAGGAGAAGCUGUCAUGAAUACAUUUGUGCAUUUAUAUUUGUCGAGCAGUGUUUCUACAGACAGAGAUGAAUUGCCUCCCUGUGAAUUACUUGGGCUGGUAGGUGUGAUCUGAAAUCUGAUCUGAAAUGGAGAUCCAAAGCUGGUGCACGCGUUGCUCAAAGCCGAGCUCUUUGCUGCUUUGUGUUAUAACUACAGGAUUAGGCUUCCUUGGAAUGACAAGUGCUGGUGAACUUCUACAGUUACCAUGAACUCUUCAUUGCUUUAUCAGUGGUCUGUUUUACAGCUUAUGUUACUCAGGGCUGUGAGGAAAAAUUAUUAUCAAUGCUAGCCAAUAACUAGCAGGCCUCAUAUCUGCUGUGCCUUGCUUUUUGUUGUUUUCUCUGGAACUCUGUAUUCUGAGUCUCCUUGUGAGAAGGUUGUGCUCCUAAUUGUUAGCUGGGGAUAACCCAAGACCAAAAUGAAGGUUAAAAACAUAUCACCCAGUCUGUUUUUGCUGUUAUCCCAAUCCACAGUGUAUGGCCUUGUCUGUGGUGUGGUUUGUGCUGCCCCCACCAUGGUUUGCUUUUCAUGGAAAUAAUAGCUUUUGAAAAUAUUCCUUCAGAAGUCUUCACUGGUUCAAUUCCCGAACAACUUAAAAAACAGUCGUGUCAUCAGGAACAGUAUCUGCAGAAAAGCUUCAGCUUUCCACUUCUUUCCAGUGGGAUCUGCACGUGUUGUUGCCUGGAUCUUGCCUGGGAUUUCUUUCCUUCUUUGUUUCACUCUAGUCUUCUAUUUUUAAAGGGAUGGCCAAUGAGAGUAACUGCUGACAAUAGAAAAAAUAUUCUUGCAAUAAUCUAGCUCUCUGUUCUCUCCCCCAGUGUUAUUUUUUUUAAUUCCCUAAUACUUAAAUGAAAUACUUUGUUGAAUUUAAAUGUUAGUAUACCAAAUCUAGGUAUUCAUUUGUUUAGCUUCACUAUAGUAGUUCUGUAAAAGAUGAUUGUGACCAAAAAUACAGAUGCUUUUAAAAAGUAAAAUAUUUUCUCCUUAACUUAUCAGAAUUAAAACUAGGAGGCUUUCUUAGUCCUGGGAAAGCUGGACUAAUAAGCAUUGGAAGGAUGAUGAUUUUGAAGCUGUCAGUGGAUUACCAAAGGUGAACCAAGGACAGCCAUUAUUCUGUGAUAGUCCCAUUGCUGUAACCAUUUUGUUCCUUACCCUGUGUCCUGUCUGGUGACAUAGGAACAUGUGUGGUGAUAGAAAGCUGUGAACUUAUUUAUUGAUCUAAUUCAUUGCUAGCACCUCUACAAAGAUUUUCAAAGCAAUUUGCACACCUAAUACAACCUCAGUUAAAAUAGCUUUUUAAAAAAUAACGGUCUUAUUUGGUUUGAUAAAUACUGGCUGUAUAUUUAUAAAAAGGACUUUGAUGCAGAAUCUACAGAGCUUGAUGCCUUAAAAAAAUGCUGGUAGUUGUUUUCCAAGCUUUCUUUGCUGUAAACAUUUAGCAUUUCCUAGUUCCAGACAGUAUUUGGACUUAGAAGAAAGGAAAUUGUUUUUGUUAACAAACUUCUUAGUUCAAAGUAAACGUAUUAUAAUUAAUCUGUGUUCAUUUUGGUUAGUGCUGUCUUAGCCAUUCCACGUGCCACAUAAGAGCUGCUUUUUUUUUUUUAAUAAGCCUUGUUCACGUGCAGUUUGUCAGUCCAGUCUUGUGGAAUUGAACUUGUGCAAACCUUCAUAUUAUACUGGUGUCUAAUCCAUGUACUCAAACACAGCUGUCACAUGUCAGCACAUGAAAAUAAUUUGAAGUGGCUUAUAACUGCAAUAAAUAAAUAAGUUUUUAAAUCCA